rnacentral:lncRNA from 1 species
GUUAUUAUGGGAUCUGCUCAAUCGGGGAUUCCCCAGUUGUCUGCUUUGCCAAAAACCUGGUAUGUUUUAGUUAUAGAUAUUAAAGAUUGUUUUUUUUUUCCAAUUCCAGUUCAUCCUGAGGAUAGUGCACGUUUUGCAUUUACUAUCCCUGUGCUGAAUCAUGAAGGUCCCGAUCAGAGAUAUGAAUGGAAAGUACUCCCUUAAGGGAUGGCUAACAGCCCAACUAUGUGUCAAAUUUAUGUUAACAAAGCAAUCCAGCCACUUAGAAAUCAAAAUCCUGAACUACAAAUAUUUCACUAUAUGGACGAUGUAUUAUUGGCACACAAAGAUAAAAACACAUUGCUAGAAUGUUAUGCCAUACUUACAAAUUUAUUAAAAAAUUAUAAUCUAG